UAUGCCCAGAGUUCGGGGUCCCCAAUAAUCAACCACCAGGGAGCCUUUUCCGAUGCAAAAGCAAAGACUCUUUAUUCAAACCCGGGUUUGGCCCCCAGCCUCCUUCCGACGCAGCAGUGAGCCGAGCGCCCGAUCCCCCGGAGAACAAAGGUUAUAUAGGGCUAGUCAUUUGGGUGGGCUUAGGUAAGUGACGUGGGUUACAGAGACUGGUCACUUAGGUAAGGGUUUUUCAACAGGGUCUUACAGCACAAAGGUCAGGAAGUGACCAGCACAUUCUGAGGCUUGGGCCGUCCCCCACUAUAGCCUUAUCAGGACCUUAGCUGCAUUCCUGGAGCUUCAUUGGUCCACUCAGGUGGUGGUUGGGGGAGUUAGGACAAUACCGACAUUCUUGUGGUCACUCAGAAAAGGAGGGGGCUUGGGCUGAGGGCCCAGCCCUACAAGACAAGAUAGAGGAGAGGGAGGAGAGUAUGUUUCUGCUUUGUCCUUUCACCAUAUCAACAGCAUAUCUCAGUAAGUA